GAAGUGCGAUAAGUAAUGUGACUUGCAGAAUACCGUGAAUCAUCGAAUCUUUGAACGCAUAUUGCACUCUCAGGUAUUCCGGAGAGUAUGCCUGUUUGAGGGUCAGCUAAAAAAAAUCAAGCGUUAUUGCUUUUUUGUGAUGACGUUUGGAAUUGAGUCGUCUUAACCUCACGGUCAAGUGACUUAAAAUUUUUUAAUGUGAUUUUCGAAACGUAUUUAAUAUUUUACGUACGUUUGCGAUAUCAAUCUAUUAGAUGUGGUCAUUUCCAUGAUUCUCGCGUCUAUAGUUUUUCAUUAAAUGACCUCAAAUCAGGUAAGAGUACCCGCUGAACUUAAGC
rnacentral:misc_RNA from 1 species